rnacentral:misc_RNA from 1 species
GAUGAAGAACGCAGCGAAAUGAGAUAAGUAAUGUGAAUUGCAGAAUUCAGUGAAUCAUCGAAUCUUUGAACGCACAUUGCGCCCCUUGGUAUUCCGAGGGGCAUGCCUGUUCGAGCGUCAUUAUAACCCCUCAAGCUCAGCUUGGUGUUGGGGCCUGCUGCACUGGCAGCCCUUAAAAUCAGUGGCGGCGCCAUCUGGCUCUAAGCGUAGUAAUUCUUCUCGCUAUGGAGUCCUGGUGGAUGCUUGCCAUCAACCCCCAAUUUUUCUAUGGUUGACCUCGGAUCAGGCAGGGAUACCCGCUGAACUUAAGCAUAUCAAUAAGCGGAGGA